rnacentral:miRNA from 3 species
UUGUGCGUGCGACAGCGACUGA